CAUCAAUCCCUACCGAUCUUCUCACUGUUAAAAGGAGCCUCGGAAAUCGCGCGAUGAAUCAAUGAUAGAAAACUUCAAACAGAAAUCUGAGAUUGUGCUUCUACGAAUCGUUUUCAGGCUUGGUUCAUCUCUAAUCUUCAGUAAACCGAUGUUGUUGGAGCUAACUAGCUUUUCACAAGCUUUUCAGGAAAUAAGAACCAACGUAAGAGGAGGAAAAACGGGGGAAGAAGGAACAACUGCAGGUGGAUAAGCCGGAUGAUGCAGCAGUUGUAAAUGUUGGCUCUACUAGUUAUGAUGAAAAUGAUGAUGUUGUGGUACACUCUAUACUUUCUUUAUGUUAGUCUAGUUGGUUAACCCCAAAUAUGAUGGUGUAACGCUAUAUGGUGUAGUCCUAAAACAAAUGAAGAAAGAAAAAACAAUU